rnacentral:rRNA from 1 species
UACGGAGGGGGCAAGCGUUAUUCGGAAUUAUUGGGCGUAAAGGGCGCGUAGGCGGCUAGAUGUGUCAAAGGUGAAAUCCCUCGGCUCAACUGAGGAACUGCCUUUGAAACUGUCUGGCUUGAGGCCGGGAGAGGGUAGCGGAAUUCCCAGUGUAGCGGUGAAAUGCGUAGAUAUUGGGAGGAACACCAGUGGCGAAGGCGGCUACCUGGACCGGUUCUGACGCUGAGGUGCGAAAGCGUGGGGAGCAAACAGG